CCUUUAGAUCUGUGAACUCAGCAGAUUGUUUCUGGAAGUUGUUGAGAGAAAAUAAAUAUGGAAAACCACAAUGUCAUUUCUAAGAGUCACUUCUCAGAGUCUGACCACAUUUUAAGUAUCUGUUAAGUGAUGUCCUUUCUCCUACCAUGUUUCUCGCCAAAACCAACGUUGUAUCAAUCUUCUGACAAAGGGAAGUUUGACACUGGGAUUCCAGACACCAAAACAAAUAAUACCACCUACGGCCCUCAUGAGUCACAAAACUCAUGCAAUUUUUCAAAAAAACUGCUAAUUUUUAGUAUCAGAGGCUCAAAAAAAGGAAAUAACUCAGCAAGGUUUUUCCAUUUGUGAAUGAUCGUGUGUUCACAGGAGGAAAUGAUUUAUAAAAUCCUGAUGAAAUAACACAAAUAAACACAUCUUUGUAUACUUAAUGAAUUCAAACCCAAAAAUCAAGUCUGACCCCUAUGACGUUUGCAUCUGGACUCAAACGGACUGCAGUCCAAAUCUAGACGGCACGGCUCGGCCUCGUGGACACACCCUGGGAGAAUUAUAUGCUUGUGAAAAGUUGUAUAGCUUUCCUUAAUUUCCGUGGGGUUUGACAGACCUGAGUUCCUCUGCUGUGCUUCAAGCUAGCUGGAUGCAAACCAGCUCUGGCCUUCGUUUGUAUAUCCUGAUACGUUAACGCGGCUGCAUGGUUUCCAGACCACAGUUGGCUCGGUUUGGCCGGCUCUGGACGCAGACAAGAGAAGCUUCUCUCUCCUUGCACCUGCCUAUGCAGAGUCGAUGGUCCAUCUCAUUACUGAAGCGUGGAUCCGAAAGAAGACACUGUCCUGCACCCAAGGCAGGCCGCUGUUAGGUAGAAGGGCAUCGUUACUGCCCAUUGCUUUUUUUAUGGCACUCCUGUUUAUAUACUCUGAUAUGAUGAGACUGCUGACUCAUACUGAGAUAGCUGUGACUAUUUAUAUCAAGAAUAUGCCAACUGCUAGUCUUCAUACGUGAAAAAAUGGACUUUCAGAAAUAAAGCAGCGUUCAGGAAAA